GCCUGGGUGGCUCAGUCGGUUGAGCGCCAGACUUUGGCCCAGGUCAUGAUCUCACGGUUCGUGGGUUUGAGCCCCGCAUCAGGCU
rfam:Felis catus isolate Cinnamon breed Abyssinian chromosome B2, whole genome shotgun sequence.